rnacentral:rRNA from 1 species
CAGUCGCCACGGUAAUACGUAGGUGGCAAGCGUUGUCCGGAAUUAUUGGGCGUAAAGCGCGCGCAGGCGGAUCAGUCAGUCUGUCUUAAAAGUUCGGGGCUUAACCCCGUGAUGGGAUGGAAACUGCUGAUCUAGAGUAUCGGAGAGGAAAGUGGAAUUCCUAGUGUAGCGGUGAAAUGCGUAGAUAUUAGGAAGAACACCAGUGGCGAAGGCGACUUUCUGGACGAAAACUGACGCUGAGGCGCGAAAGCCAGGGGAGCGAACGGGAUUAGAUACCCCAGUAGUCCCUGUCUCUUAUACA